GACGAACGCUGGCGGCGUGCUUAACACAUGCAAGUCGAACGGAAAGGCCCUGCUUUUGUGGGGUGCUCGAGUUGCGAACGGGUGAGUAACCCGUGAGUAACCUGCCCUUGACUUUGGGAUAACUUCAGGAAACUUGGGCUAAUACCGGAUAGGAGCUCCUGCUUCAUGGUGGGGGUUGGAAAGUUUCGGCGGUUGGGGAUGGACUCGCGUCUUAUCAGCUUGUUGGUUGGGUAGUGGCUUACCAAGGCUUUGACGGGUAGCCGGCCUGAGAGGGUGACCGGCUCAACUGGGCCUGAGAUAUGGCCCAGACUCGUACGGGAGGCAGCAGUGGGGAAUAUUGCACAAUGGGCGGAAGCCUGAUGCAGCAAAGCAGCGUGCGGGAUGAGGGCCUUCGGGUUGUAAACCGAUUUCGCCUGUGACGAAGCGUGAGUGACGGUAAUGGGUAAAGAAGCACCGGCUAACUACGUG
rnacentral:rRNA from 1 species